UAGUAGUAGUAGUAGUAGUAGCAGAAGCAGUAGUAGUAGUAGCAGCAGUAGUAGUAGUAGCAGUAGUAGUAAUAUUAAUGUUAGUAGUAGCAACAGCAGUAGCAGUAGUAGUAGUUGUAGUAGUAGUGGUAGUGGUAGUAAUGGUAGUAGUAGCAACAGCAGUAGUAGUACUAGUCACAGUAGUAAUAGUGGUAGUAGCAGUAGCAGCAGUAGUAGCAGUAGCAGCAGUAGUAGUAGUAGCAGUAGUAGUAGUGGUAGUAGCAGCAGUAGAAGUAGAAGUAGUAGUGGUAGUAGUAGUAGUAGCAGUAGUAGUAGUAGUAGUAGUAGUAGUAGCGGUAGUCGUAGUAGUAGUAGUAGCACCACCAAACCCUCUCCACAUGUCUCCGCACCAUAAAGGACUUUGUUAAACUUCAGGCGAGCGGAAGACGGGAUGUGUGGGGUUAUUCUGAAUGACAUGUUACUGAUGAUAUAGUAGUAGUAGUAGUAGUAGUAGCAGAAGCAGUAGUAGCAGAAGCAGUAGUAGUAGCAGCAGUAGUAGUAGUAGUAGUAGUAGCAGUAGUGGUAGCAGAAGUAGUAUUAGUAGUAGUAAUAGUAGUGGUAGUGGUAGUAGUAGUAGUAGUGGUAGUAGUAGUAAUGGUAGUAGUAGUAGCAGUAGUAGUAGUAGCAGCAGUAGCAGUAGCAGCAGUAGUAGUAGCAGCAGCAGUAGAAGUAGUAGUAGUAGUGGUAGUAGUAGUAGUAGUGGUGGUAGUAGUAGUAGUAAUGGUAGUAGUAACAACAGCAGUAGCAGUAGUGGUGGUAGUAGUAGUAGUAGUAGUAGUAGUAGUAGUAGUAGCAGCAGUAGUAGUAGUAUUAAUGUUAGUAGUAGCAACAGCAGUAGCAGUAGUAGUAGUAGUAGUAGUGGUAGUAUUAGUAGUAAUGGUAGUAAUAGCAACAGCAGUAGCAGUAGUAGUAGUAGUAGUAGUAGUGGUAUUAGUAGUAAUGGUAGUAAUAGCAACAGCAGUAGCAGUAGUAGUAGUAGUAGUAGUAGUAGUAGAAGUAGUAGUAGUAGUAGUGGUAGUAAUGGUAGUAGUAGCAACAGCAAUAGUAGUAGUAGCAGUAGUAAUGGUAGUAGUAGCAACAGCAGUAGUAGUACUAGUCACAGUAGUAAUAGUGGUAGUAGCAGUAGCAGCAGUAGUAGCAGUAGCAGCAGUAGUAGUAGUAGCAGUAGUAGUAGUAGUAGUAGCAGCAGUAGUAGGAGUAGUAGUGGAAGUAGUAGUAGUGGUAGUAGUAGUAGCAGUAGUAGUAGUAGCGGUAGUAGUAGUAGUAGUAGUAGUAGCACCACCAAACCCUCUCCACAUGUCUCCGCACCAUAAAGGACUUUGUUAAACUUCAGGCGAGCGGAAGACGGGAUGUGUGGG
rnacentral:lncRNA from 1 species